GAGUUUGAUCGUGGCUCAGGAUGAACGCUGGCGGCGUGCCUAACACAUGCAAGUCGAACGAAGCGACUGGAGGGAGUUUCGGAUGGAAUCCGGUUGACUGAGUGGCGGACGGGUGAGUAACGCGUGGAUAACCUGCCUCACACUGGGGGAUAACAGUUAGAAAUGGCUGCUAAUACCGCAUAAGCGCACAGUACCGCAUGGUACGGUGUGAAAAACCCAGGUGGUGUGAGAUGGAUCCGCGUCUGAUUAGCCAGUUGGCGGGUAACGCCCACCAAAGCGACGAUCAGUAGC
rnacentral:rRNA from 1 species